rnacentral:misc_RNA from 1 species
CAACCCUCAAGCUCUGCUUGGUAUUGGGCCCUGCCGGCAACGGCAGGCCUUAAAAACAGUGGCGGUGCCUUUAGGUCCUGAGCGUAGUAUAUUUCUCGCUAUAGGUCCCUGAAGGUUUCUGGCCAGCAACCCCAAUUUUUCUAU